UGUAAUAGCUGUUUAGUACUCCUGUGCUGGUGACAUCGCUGGAGGGCGAGACGACAUUUCUAACAAGCCUCUGCCAUCAUCCUUUAGGGACCGAAGGAGAAGAUUUUGUUUAUUUUCUCAUCAGGGAUUCUUGCUACCAGGAGAACAGGACCUGAUGGAUCAAGACUGGUCUGUUUCCACGUUAUUACGAGAUGCAUUUUAGAGGAUGAAAAGUCAUGCAUCUAUUUUUAAGUGGUUAAACAGAUGAGAAAUUAAUAUGGUAGUCUCUUCCAAGCCAUUAGAAAAUGUUCUCAUCCAAUAAACUGAUUUGUCUGUCUUCAAUGGAUUGUACUACACAGUUGGAAAAGGUUUGUCCCUCUCUCCCAGUGUAAACUGUCUGUGUUCUGAGAAGUUUAUGAUAUCCUGGUCUAACAAGAUCUUGGAUGGGGGUGGACAGUUCCAUCUGGCAGGACUGCCUCCUGGGAAGAUUGGUGGCCCUACCCUUCGGAAUCUACUCUCUCUGGCUUCCCUGAGACCAAGUGCCCUUGACUCAGAGUCAUACCCUGUGUCUUCAAAAGGACCAUCUUGGUUCACAUAAAUAGGGGCUUCCCCCUAAGCAUCUCUCCUCGCCUACUUAUACAACUCCACACUGGUCACUUCAACCGCCAGGCCCUUCUACACUGGAAGGUUCUGGUGCCCCAGAAGACUUCAGUCCAGGACAUGCAGGACAAUGGUGGCCAGUUGGGAAGUGCAGUUUCCACCUACAGCAUGGAUGUGCUCAGGCUGGGCUUCACUGGAUAGUGAUUACAUCAGGUAUGGUGGGGUGCAGAGGUCCUGCAUGCCUCUCACCAUGAAUUAAACAUGCCCUUGGGUCCAAGAACAGAGCCUGUCUAAUUUGCUCUUUUUAGAAUGGGAAUCUGUGCUCUGAGGAUACCUGUACCUCAGUGUGACUGAACUGGCCCUCAAGCUCUUUACCUGAAUCUGACCUUGUUAGUAUCCCCUUCUUCAGCCAGCAAGACCAGCAUCUAAUCACUCAGUGGAGACAGUUGUCCAGAUUUUAUCUCCAACAUCUCCUUUAUGCUCACUGCCCACACCUGUAUAGUCACCAAUUCUGCCCUGAAGAGCUUUCUUUCCAUCCAUAAAUUUCUCAUUUUGGCCGCUGUCAUUGGAGGUUGGGAUGAUACCAACUUCCAAUUGGCCUCGCAUCUAAUUCUUUUUUUUCUUUUUUUCCUUGUCAGCUGGCCAGUACAAGGAUCAGACCCUGGACCUUGGUGUUAUCAGCAAAAUAGUGUAACCAACUAAGCUAACUAGCCAGCCCCUUAUAUUAAUUCUUAACCCUAACCUCUAACACCUAAUAUUUAACCCCCAACCCUGUCCCUAAACACCAUUAUCCUCAACUUUAUCCACUGAGCCUAAGCCAUAAACCAUAAACAAACCCUAUUACCAUAAUCCUUAACUCCUAACAUGUUAUACAUAUUACCUGUCCCUAAACCCUACCACUUUAUUCCAAUCCCAACUCUAACUCCUAAACCCAACUCUUUCACCUAAACUGCAACCUAACCCUAACCUUACACUAACCCUAAA